rnacentral:ncRNA from 2 species
CUACGUUCUCAGGGCGGGGUGAAACUCCCCACCGGCGGUAAUGCCCCUUCGGGGGACGAGCCCGCGGGCGCUUUCCGGCUUCGGCCGGAAGGGACGAGCAGACCCGGUGCGAUCCCGGGGCCGACGGUCAUAGUCCGGUUAUGAGAACGGUC